UCCUCGCAUUGCUGCGGGCAGAUGAAAUGUAUAUGCGUGUCGAUCCCGCCGGCGGUGACGAUGCGGCCCUCGCCGGCGAUGAUCUCCGUGCCGGGGCCGAUGAUGAUGUCGACGCCGGGUUGAAUGUCGGGAUUGCCGGCCUUGCCGAUGCGCGCGAUGCGGCCAUUGACGACGCCGAUAUCGGCUUUGACGAUUCCCCAAUGAUCGAGAAUGACGGCGUUGGUGAUGACGGUGUCGACGGCGCCCUCGGCAUUGCUGCGCUGGCUCUGUCCCAUGCCGUCGCGGA
rnacentral:sRNA from 1 species